AGCGCCCCCAGGGGACGGGUCCGCCUGCGCGGGGUGGGAAACGGGCGCGCUGAAAUGCGCUCAGGCAGAGGUGGCCGUGGGUGCAAGGUAGGCUGCACGCGAGAAUUCGCAGUGAAAGGGUCUGCAGGAAAGCAGGGCUUCUCGUAUGAUGGAAGCAGAAAUUCACCUUCAGAGUUUGUCCCUAAGGGAAACGCGAUGGGACUCUAGCAGUUGGAUUUCAGCAAGCUGCUGCUGCACACUUGCGUUUCCCGUUGGAUUUGGUGAGGUCCAAGAGAGUCCAAAGCUCUGCGCUUAAAAAAGCACUUAAGGUGUAUACCAAAGGGGAACUUUGAUCAUCAAUGUGGAGGACUCUGGAAAACGAUGUGAGGUGUUGAACUGUAGUCUUGCAUCAUAGAAGUGAUCUACUGGGCUGGAAAGCUGGAAAGCUGGAAAGCAUUAUUUCCUUCUAGCAAUCCACAGGAGCAUAUGAGGAAGGGGAGCCAAUUUUUACACAAAGGGAAACUACUACCAGCGAAGCAGAAAUGCAGAGCAGCCCUGCUACUACUGUGGAUGACCUGAAGUUCUAGGCUGGUCCUACAGCCAGAAAUGCUUGCCUUGCUACUUGAUGAGAUGUGAGAGACAACACUUCUCCUUCAAGAUUUAAGAUACUGUUCUUCUGGAGGAAAACACUGUAAGCAAUCUGAGAUGCACUGUUUGUUUGCAUCUCCUUUUUCCAAAAAGGUACUGCCAUGGUAUGCUUGGAAUAUUUGGACUUUCCUGUAAGAAUCUAUCUGCCAGUAACACAGGCUGAAAAACGAGGUGAAAAAAACACUUAAUUGCUAUCAAAUUAAUACUUCAUCUUUGUAUCUUAGUGUCAUUUUCUAUUACUGUGUAUUUUGGUAUGCAACAACAGUAAAUGAAGCGUGCUUCUCUCUUAGAUUUGGUUGCUGUUUUUGUUUGGUUGUUUGUUUUUGUUGGUGCAGGUUGACUUUCAUCAGCUCUGGAUGGAAUGGAACUGGCCUACCUGCCUGCUUGUAAGACUAGACUCCAUGUUCCUGUGCUGGAAGAGGACAGAGGAGCUCUGGGAAAGGGCACUGCGCUGUUUUGAACUGGUGUGCUCACACACCGUGGAGCUGCUUCCAUGCCCUCAUAUCACACCGGAGCCUUGGUUAUUUUCUGCAGAUUCUCCUCUGCAGUCUGGUUCGAAGCUUGUGAGCUGAAACCAGUUCCACAGCUUCCCUGGCACUCUGCUUUAAAAGUUGCUCUCUGGCUCCAUCUUCUGUUUGCUGAGUUUUGUUUUUCUUUUCUAGCUUUGGUAUAGCAGGGAGAGAUUUUUCUGAGUUUUAUAAAGUGUACUUGUUUUAAAAAGUAGGUAAUUGCUUCUUGUGUGACAGUUGUGACCAUCAGGUGAGCAGGUGGCCCAUGGGGACCUGGGCUUUCCCAGCUCUACCAUUAGCCCUGGUUUUAGAUACUUGUUUCUGCCAGGCUGUUACUGCUGGUAGAACCAGAAGAAAACACAGCCCCAAAAGCAGUGUUUUCCCUUUUGGGUAACUGUUUUGCAAAAUGGUGGCAUGAUCUGACAACACAGUGACACCUUGCAAACCUUUCAGCUAGAACUGGAAAGCAUUGGGGCCACCAAGUAGGAGUGAGAUGACUUCAAUAAACAGCUUGAAUUUUGUGGAUACUAACAAAAACAGUCCUUUAGUUGAGUGCUGAGCAAUUAUACAUGUGUAAUAUUUAUAAUACCAGGAACAAGCUUUUCAUAAAGAAAAAAAACCGAUUUUCUGUUGAUUAAAUUUUAGGCCAGAAGACAUGCCCCUGUGAGCUGUGAAGUAAACUGAUUGCGGUUGCUCUCACUCUGCAAGAGGAACUAAUGUGGGAGAGAAGCUGCGCUCUUCCCGAUUCAGAGCUUAGUUUCAAAAGUGCUCUAUUGACAGCGAGCCAGAUUUCAGCUUCCGAAGCCUCUUCCUCAAUCACCCAUGCAGAACCAAAGGGCUUGUACACACAAAAGGUAAAAACACUUGGCAACAAGUAGAGGCACCUCUCAAUAGCCAUCAAAUGCAGCAGCGGCUUACUCCUGCCCAUGAUUUUCUACUCUGUUGGUAAGCUAAAUGUUUUAUCACUUUAUACUACAUGGGAUUUACUGUUUCUUCAAAGCCUGUAGCUCAAUGCAACUGCAAAAAAUUUGUCCUUAAAAUUCUCUCCUUUGCAGUUGCCUCUUUUGUCAGCAGUGAUAGCCUUCAUGAGAUAGUUACUAAAAAAUUGAUUUCAGAUGUUACAUCAUUCUUAGAAGCAUGUGGGAAAUAGAUAUGGAUCCAUUCUUCAUAUAGAAAGGCAAACUUCACAGAGCACCAAAGGAUUCAGUGGGAAAUACAUUUGCCCAUCUUCCUCAAAAAUACAAACUGUUGUAAAACUACACUCUUAUUUUGCUCCAGAUAUUUAUCAUUCAUUCAGUGAACAAUACUGCCUAUCACAUUUCUGAUAACAAAUCCUUCUUGUUAUUAGUUUUAUGUGGGCAUUCAGAGAAUGGGGACCUAUCAGAAAUCAGAUCUGCUGUAUACAGAAGUUCUGAAAAAAAGAAAGAUUAGCUUUAAAACAUACGCAAGGCACUAUGCAUAGCACCUUGCUGAGAAGAAGUGCACUAAUUUUUAGCUGCCAUGUAAUUGCUGUUGGCUUUGUAACUGACUGUGAACAUGUGAGAACAAAAAAGUGAUGCUGUGUCAGUGUGUGGGCUGCAAAUGAGAACUCCUGGCUCAUGCAUUUUGCCCCAUAAGCAGUUCUGGCAUUGUAUGCAGUCUUAUUGCUGUUUCCUUUGUCCUCGCUGAUCCAGCUAUAGUAUCACUCAAAUUUUGGGCUUCCAGCUUGGUGUCAAAAAUCUCUGUAAUUUAAAUCACUGCCUUUUUGGUGGAACACUCUGAUCACUAAUUCUUAUAAGCUCAUUAUUCUUGUAUUUUUCUAGGCCUCAGGACUUCAGAACUUGUUCUAGAUCUUCCUUCUCUGUGAUACUGAAGAAUCAAUACAUUCAUAUUCUAUUUGGAAAAUGGAUUAAAGUCACCUAUGUAACUUGGUUAAAAGCCCUGGAUUUUCCUAGGACAGCAAAAUACUUUCAACCAAUUGAGCAUAUAGAAGUCAAAAAGAUCAAAAGAGUACUACCUUGGACACGAGAAGAAGUUUAUGAAGAAAAAAUGCAAGUAUGGACAUUUAUAUACGAAAACAUACAUACACAUAAAGAUUCAAUGGAGAAUGAGGGAGAAAUGCCAUUUCUUCUAGCCAAGACAAUUCUCAAGGGGAGAUUUAUACACUUUUUAUGCUUUGUUUUUUAGAAAGCGGUUACAUGCUGUCCUAGUGCUGACUAGCAGAAGAACUAAAAGUUCUUGGACCACCAGCAGCAAGAAAUCACAGAGUUGUAUUUACAGAGGCCAUUAAUUGUCCAGACUGUUGGGUAACAGAUUCUGAUAAACACGGAUCAUGAUAUGGUUCUUGAAUUAUGCAGAGGAUUAUUUCACAAUCCAGAAAACAGAGAAUUCAAGCAUAGAAAUAGCCAUACAAAACAUCUUACUGCCAGCUGGGGAGGAAUUUGCAAUAACAUCAGAAUUACAGGAAAGUUCAGUGCUACUGACAGUGGUGUGCUGGAUCACUCUGUGUUGAUAAGGAACAGCUUUACUCAGUGGUCACAGUUACAGUCACAUACUCCACAAAGUGACUGACAUUAUGGCAAAAUGGGCCAUAGCAAUUAGAGGAAUGUUGUGAAAAAAGCUAACUGGACAGAAGUAAAGCCUGCAAAUGUCUUAGUGAAAACUACUGUAAAAUAUGUUGCUACAUGGGUAAUAGAUUUCAAUAUAAAAAAAAAAAAAAGGUACUUAGGAAAUGAUGAGCAGAUGUAGCAGUGGGAAAAGAAAAAAAAAAAAGCACUAUGGUGGAAACAGGCUGGAGCAUUCCAAAUGAUACAUAGUUAAAGCACAACAAAUCUUAGCUCCUCUUGAGAAAGGAAUAUUGCCCCUUUCCCGGUAACUUAACUGUUCAGUAGAGGACCACAAGCGAGCCCAGUACUGCUGCCCUUUACUGUAAUCAGGUUAAAGGGCUGUCACUUACCUCUGAAAUGGGAGCUCAAGUGAUAUCUGUCAACCUUUGGAAGAUUUGCUGGAUCAGGAGUUACUUAUUAGCUGCUGCUGAAGUCAAGCACAGAGCACAGCCAAUCAUUGAAAACACAGGGAGUGAAGACUUGUCAUCUUGUCAAAUGAGCAGUUUCAGCUUUUUUCUCUCAGCCAGCUGUGGAGAGCCAUGCUGAGUAUCCAAGAUAAAACAUCAGGAAAAAGAUAUUGUAACUGAUGAGAUAGAGAGAUAGAGAUAGAGUAACUAAAAGAUGAGAUAGAGAGAACCUGAAAUAGAAGACAUGAAUGAAGAACUGAUCAAGGAAAAUGAAAUAAAUUGGGGAAAAAAGUCAUGAUACUGUGAAAAGGGAUGCAAUGUAUGUCACACUUAAAAGCCUAGAUUUGUCUCCUUUGAAUUAUUAACCUCCGUCUUCCUACAAGACCACAGUAAUGCAGAUCAGUGGUAGCUGAGUAUUCACAGCUCACAUAAACCAGUCAAACAUGAACACAUACAACAGUGUCAGGGCCCUCACAAAACAGAAAUAACAGCAAAUAGAAAUACCUCAGGAGAUGGAAGGAGCAGGAGGAUCUCAGGGAAAGCAUUACACUCAACGCGCAACCAGCGUACACAGUGUACUUUGCCAUAACUGGAGAAGUGUAUGCUUAGCAUCAGCAUGAAUUAUGGGAAGGGAUUUCUUGGACUUUUCGUUUUGGAUCAGUGUUUGGAAAAUAACCAUAAACUGUAUAUUGACUUCAAAAUGACUUACCAACAGGAAAAUAUUAGAACUGAUCCUGAAGUGCUCAAGGCUUUCCGAUUGCAACAUCGUGAAAUUCAAAGCCAUCUGCAACAACAAAAGAACCCAUUACUGACCAAGCAGCACUGCUGGAUGAAGAGUGUUAUUGUGAUGAAGAGUUACACGUACAAUUCAAGGUUCAUUACAAGCUGGUCUCAACUCUCUUCUAAAAUUUUCCUUGUGAGAAAUGCUUUUGUGAUUUCAUCUUGGUGAGAAUUAUCCUUUUAUACUUUUCAAAGCAAUGUUUUAAGUGUCUUUCCUUCCCAUUUGGGAUUUUUCUGCAAGAAGUCGCUUUCUGCAAGUUACUGCCAAGCAGAUUUGCCCACUGUGGACUUGACUUUGCUGCGCAAGAUUUUGGACCUUUUUAACAAGUAAGUUUUGUAUCAGGGCUUCAACAUUCAUCUGAAAGCAGAAACAAACCCAAUCUCCUUGUAUUUUAAUUGUAUCUUUUGCAUAACGUGCUCAACAAAUAGUCGUAAACAUCUAGCCAAAGGUGCUUUAAGUCAGGGAAUACAGACAAACACAUUUCUUCCUUGGAUGAAAAGAUGCUUUGCUUUUUAUCAGGUUUGUUUUAUUCUAGAAUACCGGUGUCUUCGCUUUAUAGACGGCCUUUGUAGAGAGUUCCAGUUACUUGUUGAGGUUUGAUAAGUUUUCAUUAAAUGCUAAGUGGCAAAAGGCAGCCCAAGAGGCAUUUAUUCCAUCUGACACCAGUCACAUGAUUUCGUAGAGCAAUCAGUUGCAUCUUUCUUUUACAGUAUAUUCUGUUUUGGGGCAGUGCAUAAUAAUCACAUUUUGAGUAAAGGCUGGAUAAUAAAUUUUACCACGUGCCAAUACUGUAAAGAAAAGACUCCUAGCUCUCAAAUACUGCAUGCAGGUAUGGUACCUCAGUGGGAUACACUUUAGGGAUGAAUGUAUAAUUCUGCCUUCUAGUUUAUUAUGACCAUACCGAUUACUCUGGCCAUUCAAAAUAAAUAAAAUAGACCUCGUUGUUUUGCCUCCCUGCAAAGCCGCUUGUAGAAUAUUUUUAGCUGUAACCACUCCAUGCUCCAAGCCGACUGUAGCAGCAAUUGGUGUUCUUGCACCACUUGAUUAGUUGGAUAAAUUCUGCAUGCUCAUGUCUGGGAUCCAUGGCAAUAGAGUUACGUUGCUAUGCUAUGAAAUGUGCAGGAGGGUGCAACCCUUCAGAAGGGAUAUGAUUUCUGGAGCUGAUGAAACUUUGCAGCGUAGGCAAGAAAGAAUGCUUAAGGCAACAAACAAAAGAAAUCUCUGGAAUGGUGACAAGUAUCACUCAGGUUGGUGGGUAUAGGCAGAGCACCCAUCUCUCAGGGAAACAGCUAUCUGGAAAUUGUUAAAAAAUUAUGUUGCGGGCAAAGAUUAUCCUAAUUCUGUGCUGGACAUCUGAGAAGAGAGCACAUGGCAGCAGCAUGUAUAACAGGUAUUUAUGUGAAGGGCUGAAUUAACCCAUCGUGAUUCAUACAGGAGCUUUUAGUCAGAGCUAGUAAAGUGAGAAAACUAAAAGCCAGGGUUCUAACUAAAAGCUAAAAAAUAGAGAUUGCUGCAAGCAGUCUCUCACAAACUAUCUGAUAGAUGUAACUAUUAUUUCUGGCCUUACUGAUGACAGGAUUUCUUUUUUUCCCCUGGCACAAUAAGCAAAAGUAUCCUCAGACCUGUUGUUUUAAAACUCUUCCUGUUUUCAUGGCCUGGGAAGAGGAGGGAAGAUGAGAAGUCUGUACCUGUAUUAUUCCCUAGGCACUGUGGUACCAUCAGGAAUCAAGUGGACUGCUGCUGCCAGCAUCUCAAAGAUGAAUAAAUUCAAGAAAAAGGAGGUGGGGAAAAAGAAAUAAAAAAAAGGUAAAAAUACCUAUGCUUUCACAUGCCAGAGAGGUUUUCUGUUCUCUUUGGGUCUUGACACUGCUAGCUGAAUUACCCAAGAGACUGAAUUUAAAAGCUUGGAGUUGUGACAGGUUUUUGUUCUUGACCAGGAUCCUACCUGAAGUGAAAGGAGCAAUGUAACACAUCUGGAAGGAUACAUAAGGACUGUAAAUCUACUAAAAUUCUACUGCCUUAUUAGAACUGUAAUCUUGAAAUGUUUGUUCUAAGCAGUUUUCUCCACGUUAAAUUUAAUAUUUCCCUAAAGUGCCAAAUAGAAAAGGCUCUGCUCUGUUAAACACUGUUAAAAACGUAUGAAGACAACACGUAGCCCAGAAGACCUUUCAAUCUAAGGCCAGUAAUACCAAAGGAAAAGCAGGUAUCAAAUAAACAGUCUUAAUUUGA